UACAGAGGUGGCAAGCGUUGUUCGGAAUUACUGGGCGUAAAGGGCGAGUAGGCGGCCUUCUAAGUCAGACGUGAAAUCCCCCGGCUUAACCUGGGAACUGCGUCUGAUACUGGGAGGCUAGAGUAUGGGAGAGGGAUGUGGAAUUCCGGGUGUAGUGGUGAAAUGCGUAGAGAUCCGGAGGAACACCAGUGGCGAAGGCGACGCGCUGGGCCGUACCUGACACUGAUGCGCGACAGCAUGGGGAGCAAACAGG
rnacentral:rRNA from 1 species